rnacentral:rRNA from 1 species
GAUGAACGCUGGCGGCGUGCCUAAUACAUGCAAGUCGAGCGAACGGACGAGAAGCUUGCUUCUCUGAUGUUAGCGGCGGACGGGUGAGUAACACGUGGAUAACCUACCUAUAAGACUGGGAUAACUUCGGGAAACCGGAGCUAAUACCGGAUAAUAUUUUGAACCGCAUGGUUCAAAAGUGAAAGACGGUCUUGCUGUCACUAAUAGAUGGAUCCGCGCUGCAUUAGCUAGUUGGUAAGGUAACGGCUUACCAAGGCAACGAUGCAUAGCCGACCUGAGAGGGUGAUCGGCCACACUGGAACUGAGACACGGUCCAGACUCCUACGGGAGGCAGCAGUAGGGAAUCUUCCGCAAUGGGCGAAAGCCUGACGGAGCAACGCCGCGUGAGUGAUGAAGGUCUUCUGAUCGUAAAACUCUGUUAUUAGGGAAGAACAUAUGUGUAAGUAACUGUGCACAUCUUGACGGUACCUAAUCAGAAAGCCACGGCUAACUACGUG